ensembl:lncRNA
GAAAACUGUCCCAUGUCGGCACUAAGCACUACUAAACACAACAUGGAAGAAACUGAUGUUGGUGAAAAUAUGGGGUUUUUUUUUGUUGUUGUUUUUUUUUUUGUAAAUUACCUUCCCUGUUAACACUUAAAUUAAUUGAUAUAUUAUUUCAUAAAUGUUUUAACAAAUAAUAUUGCACAGGUAUGGGUAUGUCUUUUAGUUUGAAGAUCAGCGUAUUUCAUGGCUAACGUAAUACAUCCGGUAGCCAGCUGAAUUUUAACGUCAUUUCUGCUGGUACGUGUGUAGCUACUGUAUUCCCGCAGCUAUAGUUCUAAUGUUAAAAGCUGCUGUCCUGCUGGUCAGCUGUUCUUCCUCUAUCGCGUGGAGCAUUGUGUGGAUACUGUCUGUUUAACCGGACAUCGGGGUCUCUGCUCUCUUGCAGCUGCUCCUUGCUCGCUGCAGAUCACAAUGACACCUGUGAACAUCAUAGUCCAUGGAGUAUCAUACUAUCACCACUGUAAACAAGAAAAGGUUAGAACCAUUUUGUUAUUCCACUCUUACCAGUCACCGUCUGUUCCUCCCAGUUCUUCAAGUACAUGUUUACCUUUGCCAUUUCAUUUUUUCCCCUGCACUUCCAUAUGUCCUUCCUCAUGUUAACAUCAUACCUAGCCAACACCUCAUCACCUUUAUUCCCUUUAUCUACAUGCCCAUUGAUGUAAGCUCCAGUCAUCACUCGUCUACCCAGGGACAUUUUUUGUUACUUCAUCCAACUUAAGCCUCGAUUAUGCUUUCCAUGUCCACAAGUCUGCUGCCUGGUUUUAAGUGACCUAAAUUUUAUAAUAAGAAAGUAAAGGUGGGGCUUCGUACCAGUUUCCCAUCUGUUCUUUGUGACCAAGCGGACUUGUCCAGAGAAUUUCUAUAACUGUGCACCAGCUACACGUGCCCAGGUGCUGAACUUCCAACCCAGUAUCAUCUCAAAGCAUGUAACAGACAUGCUGGUCCACCUUGUGGAUGUCACAUGAAAUGGACCCACAUACAGAAGUUGCAGUAAGCUGCAGUACAAGCCGUGGUGAUAUUUUAUUUCAAGCCAAUGUGAAAACAAAUGAUUAAAGAGAUAAAACUCAUACAUUUAAAUGUAAACAAAUAUCAGCCACCUAGCUUAAUCUUACCUGACAUAGAAGAAGCCUGAAAUGUAGUUCACGCCUUCCUUGGUCAGUAGUGACUUGCUGGCUGUAAAUAUUUAAUCUCCCCCUGGUGAAACUGCAGCUUCUGUAUGCGUGCUCUCCAG